CUUACCAGAUCAGUGUUGCAACCUGGUGGCCCCUCCAGGAGAUAUAAGGCCUUGGAAUGAAAUGGAACCAUAACAAUAGGAUGUGCCUGUCCAAAUGCCUCCCUUUGAGGUUGUACACGAACUGCUCAGUGUCAGAUCGAAAUCCCCCAGUGCAGCUGGCCUGCGUGUGUGCCCUGGUCAUUGGUUGAUCAGUCUCUUCCCUGGGCCUGCGGCUUACGUCGUUGGGUGAGGGAGCUGAGAGGAAGUCGUCUGAUAAAUAUCUACCAUCCUGUUGUCUCGACAUCAAGGAGGAGAUGCGCUGUCAGGGACGCCCAAUGGGCCCCCAAUGCAAACUUUCGCCAAAGAUGGAUCUGUCGUUUGCGUGAGGACUUUAGUGGGUUGCUUCCAAGCGAGAUUCGGUACAGGAAAGUCUAUCUUCGACCCCAUCCAAGGAGUGCUCUUUAUUAGCGUUAGCAGCUGUUACUAUUCACAUUUCGAGAAGCAAUAAAUCCUUCAUAUCAAAAGAAA